rnacentral:rRNA from 1 species
CCGAGGAGUGUAAUUUAUACGCGAGUCAAGGGGUGGUGAAAACCCUAGGGGCGGAAUGAAAGUAAAGGCCGGUUAACCGGUUGACAUGGGAUCCGCUCUUCGGAGCGGCGCACCAUGGCCCUGUCUUGUCUGCUUGCAGAUGGGCAGCGGUAGAGCGUUUAGUUUGCGACCCGAAAGAUGGUGAACUAUGCUUGAGCAGGACGAGCCAGAGGAAACUCUGGUGGAAGUCCGUAUCGGUUCUGACGUGCAAAUCGAUCGAUAGACUUGGGUAUAGGGGCGAAAGACUAAUCGAAC